ensembl:rRNA 5S_rRNA 5S ribosomal RNA
CACCAAGUGCCCCUUGUGGGCAUCUAUGGCCAUAGAACACUGAUCCUGGAAGCUAAGCAAGGUCGGGCUUAGCCAGUACCUGGAAGGGAGACUGCCUGGGAAUACCAGGUGCUGUGGGGU